UUGGAUGAUUGUAUUAAAGCUCUCUGAUUGGUUAUUAUAUAUGUUUUAUUUGAAUCAAUCAGAGAGCUUUAACACAAUCAUCUAAU
rnacentral:miRNA from 1 species